rnacentral:rRNA from 1 species
GGGCCCGCACAAGCAGCGGAGCAUGUGGUUUAAUUCGACGCAACGCGAAGAACCUUACCAGGUCUUGACAUCCAGUAAAAUCUGUGGAAACGCAGUGUGCCUUCGGGCGUACUGAGACAGGUGGUGCAUGGUUGUCGUCAGCUCGUGUCGUGAGAUGUUGGGUUAAGUCCCGCAACGAGCGCAACCCUUGUUGAUAGUUACUAACGCGUAGAGGCGAGGACUCUAUCAAGACUGCCGGGGACAACUCGGAGGAAGGUGGGGAUGACGUCAAAUCAUCAUGCCCCUUAUGACCUGGGCUACACACGUGCUACAAUGGCCGAUACAGAGAGGAGCAAACCCGCAAGGGGGAGCGGAUCUCAAAAAAGCGGUCACAGUUCGGAUUGUGGGCUGCAACCCGCCCACAUGAAGUAGGAGUUGCUAGUAAUCGCGGAUCAGCAUGCCGCGGUGAAUACGUUCCCGGGCCUU